rnacentral:lncRNA from 10 species
AGAAUCGAAGAAAAUGAAGAGACUUUAAUUACCAACUGGGAUGAAGAUGGGGAGUCGACAGAGGAGAUGAGGGCACUUAGUGGCUGUCCUGUGAGACUCAAGAAGGGAACAGCUUCUUUCCAAGAACUGAUGAGAAGCCUGAACCAGGACCCAGUAGAAGAAAAGGAACCCCUUGAGUUGCUGUUUGGCUGUUUAUAGACAGCGUCCAAGUUGGUCAGUGCCGCUGACAAUAGGUGCUUGGCUGAAAGCAUGGGCUAAAUUGGAUGACUGAUAAUGACAGUUAAUGCUGUGGUAACUGAACAUAAAGAAAAGAAGUAAAAAAGAAACAAGUAUCAAAAAGCGCAGUUCACUGUUCUUCAUGUUGGAAGAGAUGAUACAGAUGUUGAUAAAUAUGUAGCUGGACCCGAAAGCAACAAUAU